AGCAGCCGCGGUAAUUCCAGCUCCAAUAGCGUAUAUUAAAGUUGUUGCAGUUAAAAAAGCUCGUAGUUGAAUUUCGGGAUCAAUAUGUCGGUCGUGCCUUCGGUACGUACUGGUAUCAUUGGUCUCUCCUUUCUGACGAACCAUGAUGUCAUUAAUUUGGUGUUAUGGGGGAGUUAGGACUGUUACUUUGAAAAAAAUUAGAGUGUUUAAAGCAGGCUUUAGCUUGAAUACAUUAGCAUGGAAUAAUGAAAUAGGACGUUCGAACCUAUUUUGUUGGUUUCUAGGAUCAACGUAAUGAUUAAUAGGGAUAGUUGGGGGGCAUUAGUAUUCAAUUGUCAGAGGUGAAAUUCUUGGAUUUAUUGAAGACUAACUACUGCGAAAGCAUUUGCCAAGGAUGUUUUCAUUAAUCAAGAACGAAAGUUAGGGGAUCGAAGACGAUCAGAUACCGUCGUAGUCUUAACCAUAAACUAUGCCGACUAGGGAUCGGAUGAUGUUAAUUUUUUUAAUGACUCAUUCGGCG
rnacentral:misc_RNA from 1 species